rnacentral:rRNA from 1 species
AUUGAACGCUGGCGGCAGGCCUAACACAUGCAAGUCGAACGAGUGGCGGACGGGUGAGUAAUGUCUGGGAAACUGCCUGCUGGAGGUGGAUAACUACUGGAAACGGUAGCUAAUACCUCAUACCAUCAUAUGUGCCCAGAUGGGUGUAGCUUGUGGGUGGGGUAACGGCUAACCAAGGGGACGAUCCCUAGCUGGUCUGAGAGGAUGACCAGCAACACGGGAACUGGGAAAGGGUCCAGACUCCUACGGGAGGCAGCAGUGGGGAAUAUUGCACAAUGGGCGAAAGCCUGAUGCAGCAAUGCCGCGUGUAUGAAGAAGGCCUUCGGGUUGUAAAGUACGUUCAGCGGGGAGGCGUUACCCGCAGAAGAAGCACCGGCUAACUCCGUGCCAGCAGCCGCGGUAAUUC